rnacentral:rRNA from 1 species
CUGAGAAUAUUCCGCAAUGGGAGUAAUCCUGACGGAGCGACGCCGCGUGAAUGAAGAAGGCAGAAAUGUUGUAAAAUUCUUUUAUAUGGGAAGAAUAAAAUUAGGAUUAGAAAGCCUAUUUGAUGACGGUACCAUAUGAAUAAGCCACGGCUAACUACGUGCCAGCAGCCGCGGUAAUACGUAGGUGGCAAGCGUUGUUCGGAUUCAUUGGGCGUAAAGGGCAUGUAGGCUGUUGGAUAAGUGUGAAUUGAAAGACCGAAGCUUAACUUCGUGUUUGGUUUGCAAACUGUCUGACUGGAGUGCGGAAUGGGAGACUGGAAUUGCGCGUGUAGGGGUGAAAUCUGUAGAUAUGCGCAAGAAUACUUGUGGCGAAGGCGAGUCUCUGGUCCGUAACUGACGCUAAAAUGCGAAAGUGUGGGUAGCAAACA